rnacentral:rRNA from 1 species
GAUGAACGCUGGCGGCGUGCCUAAUACAUGCAAGUCGAGCGAACGGACGAGAAGCUUGCUUCUCUGAUGUUAGCGGCGGACGGGUGAGUAACACGUGGAUAUCCUACCUAUAAGACUGGGAUAACUUCGGGAAACCGGAGCUAAUACCGGAUAAUAUUUUGAACCGCAUGGUUCAAAAGUGAAAGACGGUCUUGCUGUCACUUAUAGAUGGAUCCGCGCUGCAUUAGCUAGUUGGUAAGGUAACGGCUUACCAAGGCAACGAUGCAUAGCCGACCUGAGAGGGUGAUCGGCCACACUGGAACUGAGACACGGUCCAGACUCCUACGGGAGGCAGCAGUAGGGAAUCUUCCGCAAUGGGCGAAAGCCUGACGGAGCAACGCCGCGUGAGUGAUGAAGGUCUUCGGAUCGUAAAACUCUGUUGUUAGGGAAGAACAUAUGUGUAAGUAACUGUGCACAUCUUGACGGUACCUAAUCAGAAAGCCACGGCUAACUACGUG